rnacentral:rRNA from 1 species
GAUGAACGCUGGCGGCGUGCCUAAUACAUGCAAGUCGAGCGAACAGACGAGGAGCUUGCUUUUCUGACGUUAGCGGCGGACGGGUGAGUAACACGUGGAUAACCUACCUAUAAGACUGGGAUAACUUCGGGAAACCGGAGCUAAUACCGGAUAAUAUAUUGAACCGCAUGGUUCAAUAGUGAAAGACGGUUUUGCUGUCACUUAUAGAUGGAUCCGCGCUGCAUUAGCUAGUUGGUAAGGUAACGGCUUACCAAGGCAACGAUGCAUAGCCGACCUGAGAGGGUGAUCGGCCACACUGGAACUGAGACACGGUCCAGACUCCUACGGGAGGCAGCAGUAGGGAAUCUUCCGCAAUGGGCGAAAGCCUGACGGAGCAACGCCGCGUGAGUGAUGAAGGUCUUCGGAUCGUAAAACUCUGUUAUUAGGGAAGAACAAAUGUGUAAGUAACUGUGCACAUCUUGACGGUACCUAAUCAGAAAGCCACGGCUAACUACGUG